rnacentral:rRNA from 1 species
GACGAACGCUGGCGGCGUGCCUAAUACAUGCAAGUUGAGCGAUGAAGAUUGGUGCUUGCACCAAUUUGAAGAGCAGCGAACGGGUGAGUAACGCGUGGGGAAUCUGCCUUUGAGCGGGGGACAACAUUUGGAAACGAAUGCUAAUACCGCAUAACAACUUUAAACAUAAGUUUUAAGUUUGAAAGAUGCAAUUGCAUCACUCAAAGAUGAUCCCGCGUUGUAUUAGCUAGUUGGUGAGGUAAAGGCUCACCAAGGCGAUGAUACAUAGCCGACCUGAGAGGGUGGUCGGCCGCAUUGGGACUGAGACACGGCCCAAACUCCUACGGGAAGCAGCCGUAGGGAUUCUUCGGCAAUGGACGAAAGUCUGACCGAGCAACGCCGCGUGAGUGAAGAAGGUUUUCGGAUCGUAAAACUCUGUUGGUAGAGAAGAACGUUGGUGAGAGUGGAAAGCUCAUCAAGUGACGGUAACUACCCAGAAAGGGACGGCUAACUACGUG